UACGUAGGGUGCAAGCGUUGUCCGGAAUCAUUGGGCGUAAAGCGCGUGUAGGCGGUUCGAUAAGUCUGCUGUGAAAGUCCAGGGCUCAACCCUGGGAUGCCGGUGGAUACUGUCGGGCUAGAGUGCGGAAGAGGCGAGUGGAAUUCCCGGUGUAGCGGUGAAAUGCGCAGAUAUCGGGAGGAACACCAAUUGCGAAGGCAGCUCGCUGGGACGUAACUGACGCUGAGACGCGAAAGCGUGGGGAGCAAACAGG
rnacentral:rRNA from 1 species